CGCGCUCGAACUCGUCGUACUCCACGAACCCGUCCUUGUUCGUGUCGGCCACCGUCAUCAUUGCCCCAAUCAACUCAUCUCCGCCGCUGACUCCGCCAUGAACGCCGGCGUAGAAGGCACGGAGGUCGUCCCGACUUAUUUUGCCGUCGCGAUCGGCGUCGAGGACUUCGAAUGCGGGGCGGAAAUCGGCGGCAGCGGCGUGGGGGCUGAGGAGGCGACCAGAAGGGCACAUGGUUUGUUGUGUGGUGUUGGGACGACGAAUGGAGGAACAGGAAUUUGUGUGUGUGG
rnacentral:lncRNA from 1 species